GCUCGGGUGGUGAAACUGGUAGACACGCGGGACUUAAAAUCCCGUGGGCAUAACAGCCCGUACGGGUUCGAUUCCCGUCCCGAGCAC
rnacentral:tRNA from 1 species